GUAGCUUUUUGGUAUAAUCUUAAAAUUCAGUAAUGUAAGUCUUCCAACUUUACCUUCUUUCAAAAUGGUUCUGAUUAUUCUAGAUUCUUUGUAAUUUUUUUUACGAAUUUUAGAAUUAAUUUGACAGCUGAUGGGAUUCGGAUUGGGGUUACAUUGAAUCUACAGAUCAAUUCUGGGGGGGUGAUAUUUUUAAUAAGCUACCCCAAAUAUGGAAGCUUGCUAUAUUGAAUAUUUUAAGCUGAAGGAGUUUGAGAAAAUGGCUGAAGCAGGAAGGUCCCCCUAACCACCCCACUUCUCCCCUGACACAGUCAUGAACCCCUCAUGUGAGAGAUGCCCUCCCUAUACUCAGAGGAAAGGAGCGUCCUUAUCUCUGAAGAUAAAGGGAUGCUGAGAUGCUAACAGAUAGGCCUUGCUAGGUUUCCUCCAGUUUUACCGCACGUACCAUGUACCGUAACCUAUCAUACUCCUCCACACCUGUCCACCCUUCAUCAAGCCUAGCAUAAAAAUACUCAGGUUUAACUAUUUCUUUGGGUCUUCAUUUUCUUAUGAAAACUCCCACGUUAUGUAAAACUUACAUGAAAUAAAUUUGUAUGCCUGUCUUUUGUUAAUCUUUUUUCUGUUGGUUUAAUUUUCAGACUCUAGGAGGAUCAAGAAAAACUUUUUCUUCCCCUCCAGUUUCUGGUGCCCACACAGGAACUCCUUCAGCUGGGAACACCUUGCUGAGUCUGGAAGCUGUAAUAAAGAGAUCUUGGACCUCUGACAAAACCCAACAGAGGAGCUACUUGGAAACUGGGCAAAUGAAAAACCUUAAAGGACUUCCCUGGUGGCGCAGUGGUUAAAAAUCCGCCUGCCAAUGCAGGGGACACAGGUACGAUCCCUGGUCCAGGAAGAUCCCACAUGCCACAGAGCAACUAAGCCCGUGUGCCACAACUACUGAGACCACACGCCGCAACUACUGAGCCCAUGUGCUGCAACUACUGAAGCUCACGAGCCUAAGAGCCCAUGCUCCACAACAAGAGAAGCCAUCGCAAUGAGAAACCUGCACACUGCAACGAAGAGUAGACCCUGCUCGCCGCAACUAGAGAAAGCUCGCGCACAGCAACAAAGACCCAAAGCAGCCAAAAAAAACAAAAAAGAAACUUAAAAGAUCUUCUCCACAGAUAUUAGUAAAGUGUUUUAGCCAUCUGAGUGGGUAACCUUAACUUAUUCCAUCUGCCAGAAGCACAAUUUGGAUCCAAGUGUUCUUUUAUGAACUAGUGAGUUUUAUAUUAAUAUACCUGACACAUGGUUAAAAUUUUAAAGCAAAAGCUGUAAGAUCUCUGUAUUUGUCUGCCUGUAUGUUUAUGUGUGUAUGUGUGUGUGUGUGUGUGUGUGUGUGUGUAUUAUGUAUAAGUGAUAUUUUUCUACCUCCAGAUGGUAUUACCAUAUUUAUUUAUAAAAUCCCUUAAAGGAGUUCUAUUCAAAUUGGCUUAGAGAUAAGUGAGUGCUCAUAUAAAUUAAGUAUUCCUAAAACUCUCAGAAAUAUAGACAAUAACCCAAAUUUUUUUUAAAUUCAUGUGAUCUGGUGUAAUUCUGAUAAAUAAAGUUAGUUUUCUAAUUGUUGGUAAAAUAAAAAAUAGGUAUGUCUUCAGAGCUGUCGGCAUUAAAUAUAAUGCAGACAUACAAUUUUCUUCUACCUAGGUUUACUAGUCAAACAAACUUAUAUUAUCUCUACUAGAUGUUUAAGAUUAUAAAACUGUAGGGGACUUCCCUGGUGGUCCAGUGGUUAAGACUCCACGCUUCCAGUGCAGGGAGUGCAGGUUCCACCCGUGGUUGGGGAAAUAAGAUCCUGCAUGCCCCACAGCGUGGCGAAAAAAAAAAGAUUAUAAAAUUAUAAAUCCAACCUAUAAACAAAAUGUACAAUUAGAAAUGAACUCCUUAAUGCAUGUCAAGUACCUAGUGAAAAAGAGAGAUAAGAACCAUGUUCUUAGCUUCUUGCACUCUUUGCUUUUGUGAUCUUUUUUGUUUUUUUAAAUUUUCUUGGCCGCCACGGGGCGUGUUGGAUCCUAGCUCCCCAACCAAGGAUCGAACAUGCGCCCCCUGCAUUGGAAGUGUGGAGUUUCAACCACAGGACUGCCAGGGAAGUCCCUGUGAUAUUUUUGAAACUUACCUGAUUCUCGACAAAUAAGUUGAUGAUUAGCUUUGUUUAAAGUCUCAUGAAAUUUUCCUUACUAAUCUAAAAAUAAUUGUUAAGAAGAAGUGAAUUCAUAAAAAACUAAAAAUAUAGCUACCAUAUGAUCCUGCAAUCCCACUCCUAGGCAUAUAUCCAGAGAAAAGCAUAAUUCAGAAAGAUAUAUGCAACCCCAAUGUUCAAUACAACACUACAAUAGCCAAGACAUGGAAGCAACCUAAAUGUCCAUCGACAGAUGAAUAGAUAAAGAAGAUGUGGUAUAUAUAUAUAUAUAUAUAUAUAUAUAUAUAUAUAUACACACACACACACACACACACACAAUGGAAUAUUAGUCAUAAAAAAAGAAUUAAAUAAUGCCAUUUGUAGCAAUAUGGAUGGCCCUAGAGAUUAUCAUAUUAAGUGAAGUAAGCCAGACAGAGAAAGACAAGUAUCAUAUGAUAUUGUUUAUACAUGGAAUCUUACAAAAUGAUACAAAUGAACUUAUUUACCGAGCAGAAAGAGACUCACAGACAUAGAAAACAAACUUAUGGUUACCAAAAGGGAAAGGGGAUAGGGGUAGGGAUAAAUUAGGAGUUUGGUAUUAACAUAUACACACUAAUAUAUAUAAAAUAGAUAACCAAAAAGGAUCUACUGUAUAGCACAGGGAACUAUAUUCAGUAUCUUGUAAUAGCCUAUAAUGGAAAAGAAUCUAAAAAAGAAUACAUAUAUGUGUGUAUAUGUAUAUACAUAUAUAGAACUGAAUCACUUUGCUGUACACCUGAAACUAACACAAUAUUGUAAAUCAACUGUACUUCAA